rnacentral:rRNA from 1 species
AUGGAGAGUUUGAUCCUGGCUCAGGAUGAACGCUGGCGGUAUGCUUAACACAUGCAAGUCGAACGGUCUCUUCGGAGAUAGUGGCGGACGGGUGAGUAACGCGUGAGAACAUGCCUUUAGAUUGGGGACAACAGUUGGAAACGACUGCUAAUACCGAAUGUGCCUUAGGGUGAAAGAUUUAUUGUCUAGAGAUUGGCUCGCGUCAGAUUAGCUAGUUGGAGUGGUAACGGCACACCAAGGCGACGAUCUGUACUUGGUCUGAGAGGAUGACCAGGCACACUGGAACUGAGACACGGUCCAGACUCCUACGGGAGGCAGCAGUGGGGAAUUUUCCGCAAUGGGCGAAAGCCUGACGGAGCAAUACCGCGUGAGGGAGGACGGCUUUUGGGUUGUAAACCUCUUUUAUCAGGGAAGAAUCGAUGACGGUACCUGAUGAAUCAGCAUCGGCUAACUCCGUGCCAGCAGCCGCGGUAAUACGGAGGAUGCAAGCGUUAUCCGGAAUUAUUGGGCGUAAAGCGUCCGUAGGUGGUUUAUCAAGUCUGCUGUCAAAGCGUGCGGCUUAACCGCAUAAGGGCAGUGGAAACUGAUGAACUAGAGUGCGAUAGGGGUAACAGGAAUUCCCAGUGUAGCGGUGAAAUGCGUAGAUAUUGGGAAGAACACCAGCGGCGAAAGCGUGUUACUGGGUCUGCACUGACACUGAGGGACGAAAGCUAGGGGAGCGAAAGGGAUUAGAUACCCCUGUAGUCCUAGCCGUAAACGAUGACAACUAGGCGUGGUUCGUAUCGACCCGAGCCGUGCCGUAGCCAACGCGUUAAGUUGUCCGCCUGGGGAGUACGCACGCAAGUGUGAAACUCAAAGGAAUUGACGGGGGCCCGCACAAGCGGUGGAGUAUGUGGUUUAAUUCGAUGCAACGCGAAGAACCUUACCAAGGCUUGACAUCCUCGGAACCCUGAUGAAAGUUAGGGGUGCCUUCGGGAGCCGAGAGACAGGUGGUGCAUGGCUGUCGUCAGCUCGUGUCGUGAGAUGUUGGGUUAAGUCCCGCAACGAGCGCAACCCACGUUUUUAGUUGCCAGCAUUCAGUUGGGCACUCUAGAGAGACUGCCGGUGACAAACCGGAGGAAGGUGUGGAUGACGUCAAGUCAGCAUGCCCCAUACGCCUUGGGCUACACACGUACUACAAUGCGUCGGACAAAGAGCAGCCAGCCAGCGAUGGUGAGCCAAUCUCAUAAACCGGCGCUCAGUUCAGAUUGCAGGCUGCAACUCGCCUGCAUGAAGGCGGAAUCGCUAGUAAUCGCAGGUCAGCAUACUGCGGUGAAUACGUUCCCGGGCCUUGUACACACCGCCCGUCACACCAUGGGAGUUGGUCACGCCCGAAGUCGUUACUCUAACUGCUUGCAGAGGAGGACGCCGAAGGUGGGGCUGAUGACUGGGGUGAAGUCGUAACAAGGUAGCCGUACCGGAAGGUGUGGCUGGAUCACCUCCUU